rnacentral:rRNA from 1 species
GGGUUGUGAGGUUAAGCGACUAAGCGUACACGGUGGAUGCCCUGGCAGUCAGAGGCGAUGAAGGACGUGCUAAUCUGCGAUAAGCGUCGGUGAGGUGAUAUGAACCGUUAUAACCGGCGAUUUCCGAAUGGGGAAACCCAGUGUGAUUCGUCACACUAUCAUUAACUGAAUCCAUAGGUUAAUGAGGCGAACCGGGGGAACUGAAACAUCUAAGUACCCCGAGGAAAAGAAAUCAACCGAGAUUCCCCCAGUAGCGGCGAGCGAACGGGGAGGAGCCCAGAGCCUGAAUCAGUGUGUGUGUUAGUGGAAGCGUCUGGAAAGGCGUGCGAUACAGGGUGACAGCCCCGUACACAAAAAUGCACAUAUUGUGAGCUCGAUGAGUAGGGCGGGACACGUGGUAUCCUGUCUGAAUAUGGGGGGACCAUCCUCCAAGGCUAAAUACUCCUGACUGACCGAUAGUGAACCAGUACCGUGAGGGAAAGGCGAAAAGAACCCCGGCGAGGGGAGUGAAAAAGAACCUGAAACCGUGUACGUACAAGCAGUGGGAGCCUCUUUAUGGGGUGACUGCGUACCUUUUGUAUAAUGGGUCAGCGACUUAUAUUCUGUAGCAAGGUUAACCGAAUAGGGGAGCCGAAGGGAAACCGAGUCUUAACUGGGCGUUAAGUUGCAGGGUAUAGACCCGAAACCCGGUGAUCUAGCCAUGGGCAGGUUGAAGGUUGGGUAACACUAACUGGAGGACCGAACCGACUAAUGUUGAAAAAUUAGCGGAUGACUUGUGGCUGGGGGUGAAAGGCCAAUCAAACCGGGAGAUAGCUGGUUCUCCCCGAAAGCUAUUUAGGUAGCGCCUCGUGAAUUCAUCUCCGGGGGUAGAGCACUGUUUCGGCAAGGGGGUCAUCCCGACUUACCAACCCGAUGCAAACUGCGAAUACCGGAGAAUGUUAUCACGGGAGACACACGGCGGGUGCUAACGUCCGUCGUGAAGAGGGAAACAACCCAGACCGCCAGCUAAGGUCCCAAAGUCAUGGUUAAGUGGGAAACGAUGUGGGAAGGCCCAGACAGCCAGGAUGUUGGCUUAGAAGCAGCCAUCAUUUAAAGAAAGCGUAAUAGCUCACUGGUCGAGUCGGCCUGCGCGGAAGAUGUAACGGGGCUAAACCAUGCACCGAAGCUGCGGCAGCGACACUAUGUGUUGUUGGGUAGGGGAGCGUUCUGUAAGCCUGUGAAGGUGGCCUGUGAGGGUUGCUGGAGGUAUCAGAAGUGCGAAUGCUGACAUAAGUAACGAUAAAGCGGGUGAAAAGCCCGCUCGCCGGAAGACCAAGGGUUCCUGUCCAACGUUAAUCGGGGCAGGGUGAGUCGACCCCUAAGGCGAGGCCGAAAGGCGUAGUCGAUGGGAAACAGGUUAAUAUUCCUGUACUUGGUGUUACUGCGAAGGGGGGACGGAGAAGGCUAUGUUGGCCGGGCGACGGUUGUCCCGGUUUAAGCGUGUAGGCUGGUUUUCCAGGCAAAUCCGGAAAAUCAAGGCUGAGGCGUGAUGACGAGGCACUACGGUGCUGAAGCGACAAAUGCCCUGCUUCCAGGAAAAGCCUCUAAGCAUCAGGUAACAUCAAAUCGUACCCCAAACCGACACAGGUGGUCAGGUAGAGAAUACCAAGGCGCUUGAGAGAACUCGGGUGAAGGAACUAGGCAAAAUGGUGCCGUAACUUCGGGAGAAGGCACGCUGAUAUGUAGGUGAAGCGACUUGCUCGUGGAGCUGAAAUCAGUCGAAGAUACCAGCUGGCUGCAACUGUUUAUUAAAAACACAGCACUGUGCAAACACGAAAGUGGACGUAUACGGUGUGACGCCUGCCCGGUGCCGGAAGGUUAAUUGAUGGGGUUAGCGGUAACGCGAAGCUCUUGAUCGAAGCCCCGGUAAACGGCGGCCGUAACUAUAACGGUCCUAAGGUAGCGAAAUUCCUUGUCGGGUAAGUUCCGACCUGCACGAAUGGCGUAAUGAUGGCCAGGCUGUCUCCACCCGAGACUCAGUGAAAUUGAACUCGCUGUGAAGAUGCAGUGUACCCGCGGCAAGACGGAAAGACCCCGUGAACCUUUACUAUAGCUUGACACUGAACAUUGAGCCUUG